rnacentral:tRNA from 1 species
AAGAAUGUAGCAUAAAUGGGUAAUGCAUUCGUUUUGGGAACGAAAGAGUAUCAGUUCAAGCCUGAUCAUUCCGA